rnacentral:rRNA from 1 species
AGUGAACGCUGGCGGUAGGCCUAACACAUGCAAGUCGAGCGGCAGCACAGUAAGAGCUUGCUCUUACGGGUGGCGAGUGGCGGACGGGUGAGGAAUACAUCGGAAUCUACUUUUUCGUGGGGGAUAACGUAGGGAAACUUACGCUAAUACCGCAUACGACCUACGGGUGAAAGCAGGGGAUCUUCGGACCUUGCGCGAUUGAAUGAGCCGAUGUCGGAUUAGCUAGUUGGCGGGGUAAAGGCCCACCAAGGCGACGAUCCGUAGCUGGUCUGAGAGGAUGAUCAGCCACACUGGAACUGAGACACGGUCCAGACUCCUACGGGAGGCAGCAGUGGGGAAUAUUGGACAAUGGGCGCAAGCCUGAUCCAGCUAUACCGCGUGGGUGAAGAAGGCCUUCGGGUUGUAAAGCCCUUUUGUUGGGAAAGAAAAGCAGCAGGUUAAUACCCCGCUGUUCUGACGGUACCCAAAGAAUAAGCACCGGCUAACUUCGUG